ACUAAUGAAACUGAUCUUCUGGUACAAAAGCCAGAAUAUACCCACAAGACGAGAAGACCCUGUGGAGCUUAUAACCCAGUCACUACUACUAACCUGCCCUAGUGACCAGUUUAAGUUGGGGCGACUACGGAGUACAGCAAACCCUCCAAGAAACCAGGCUAACACCCCACCCCUAGGCACACGCGCCAACAAGACAAGACCCCCAUUUGACCCAGUACCACUGACCAUCGAACCAAGUUACCCCAGGGAUAACAGCGCCAUCCCCCUCUAGAGUCCAUAUCACCAGGGGGGUUUACGACCUCGAUGUUGGAUCAGGACAAG
rnacentral:rRNA from 1 species